AAACUUGCUUUUGCGCGAAUUUCAUUGUAGCAGGAGUUUAUUCCUGCUGAAGAUUUCUGACUUCAAUGACUGAGUAAAACUAUCAUUGUGUACAAUCAGAUGUUAGAAAUACACGAUAUGUUUCACUGUGCUUUUGCCUGCCGAAGUGUUAAAAAAUAUCAAAUCAUUGUGUCAGUUAAAUUUCGCGUUACGUUAAGGAUGCGCAGUUUAUUUAUGCAGUGCAACAACAACCUACACGUGGAUGACAUCAAAGUACUGCGAGAGCGACUCGAAUGAUCAUGGGCAAGAUUCUGAUUUCAAAUCGCUCUCGCGGUAUUUUAACGUCAUCUGUUUGUCAGUUCCUCCAACGCAGCAUUAUGUCGAACACCUUGUCAAAAAUGAUUGAGAUGGCCAAUCAAAUCAAAAAAGGCGAGUGUCACUGGCCAAUCACAUAACAGAAGACGAGCUUUCCUGUUAACACAAGCAAAGCGGCGGCCAAUCAAAUUAACCAAUAGGCGGGGUUAACCCCAGGAGCAGCAGUUACACCGCGUCAAUCAAUCAUAACGGACACAGAUUUCAAAGGCAGCAGGAUGAGAGUUAACUAUGUAUCAGGUCUGUGUUCAUCAAGACAUGAAGACUCUGGAGUGGGACAAGAGAAGGAUGAUGGGGUGUUAUUCCAAUAGACACAUUAAGGUAAAGAGGUGGGACAAUGAUGCUGACAGGACAGGAGGAGGUGACAUUCAGACAUUCAGCACAGACAUUUUCAUCCAAAGCAACUUGAGGAAGAUAACAGAAGCAGUUCAUCCUAAAAGUGGGCUGCUGUAAUGUUUACAUCUAUGGAAAGAGGAGCUGAGAAGAAAAGAGAGGCUGGAAAGCAGUACUUCUUGUUGAGGACAAUCCUGAAUAGGAACACUUUCUCAUAUACACAUAGAUUAUUAGUAGUGUUUGAUUAACUGGAACUUGUAUCUUUGCGUGAAGCUGGCUGUAGAGUUGGUUUCACAUACACAUGAAGUUUCUAAUUAACUAACUUUUAAGUUCAGUUUGGUUUAAACUUGUAUUUACCCAUGGUAAUUCAUUUAAAUUUCAAUUCAUGCUAAUAUAUUAAUUUCAAUGAAAACUUCUGUAUUUGUGUAUAGCUGGUAAUUUGGGCAAACUACAUUUCACACACCAAUGUAACUGUCACAAAGUUUUUUUAUUAUCAGUUUGUUCUAAACUUUUGUAUGUUUACUAAGGAUGAAAUUGCUUUUUAAUUUAAGUUGUUGGUAGAUUCAUGCCAAUAAUGUAUUUGAACAAACUAGUAUUUUUGUUUAUUGCUGGCAGUUUAUACUAGAAGAGUUUUAACACAUACAAUAUUGA